GACGAACGCUGGCGGCGUUCUUAACACAUGCAAGUCGAACGAAGUGGCUAACGGGUGAGUAACGCGUAAUCAACCUGCCCUUCAGAGGGUGACAACAGUUGGAAACGACUGCUAAUACCGCAUACUGAAGGAGGGGAUUGCGUCUGAUUAUCUAGUUGGAGGGGUAACGGCCCACCAAGGCGAUGAUCAGUAGCCGGUCUGAGAGAAUGAACGGCCACAUUGGGACUGAGACACGGCCCAGACUCCUACGGGAGGCAGCAGUGGGGAAUCUUCCGCAAUGGACGAAAGUCUGACGGAGCAACGCCGCGUGGAUGAAGAAGGCCCUAGGGUUGUAAAGUACUGUUAAUCGGGACGCGGUACCGGAAUAGAAAGCCACGGCUAACUACGUGCCAGCAGCCGCGGUAAUUC
rnacentral:rRNA from 1 species